AUUGACCCGACCAAAAAUUCUAGAAAAACAAUUAGUAAGUAGAAAUAUGAGUCUAGUUUCAGGAAAAAUUUACGGAAUUGGAUUUCGAUUUUUUUAGCUCGAGAUAUGCUCUUUUUUAAACCUGGACUCCAGAAAAUAGCCUAUCCUGAAUAUGUGAUUAUAUACUAGUAUGAUUGUUUUACUUUGAUAAAUUGAAUAUCAAUUUCGUACUUACUUACUAAGUUAUAUGCUUACCUUCUUUUCUUUUCUUUGUCUUAU
rnacentral:lncRNA from 1 species